rnacentral:rRNA from 1 species
UACUCCUACGGGAGGCAGCAGUGAGGAAUCUUCCACAAUGGGCGAAAGCCUGAUGGAGCAACGCCGCGUGCAGGAUGAAGGCCUUCGGGUUGUAAACUGCUUUUAUGAGUGAAGAAUAUGACGGUAGCAGAUGAAUAAGGAUCGGCUAACUCCGUGCCAGCAGCCGCGGUAAUA